CGGUAAUUCCAGCUCCAAUAGCGUAUACUAAAGUUGUUGCAGUUAAAAAGCUCGUAGUUGGAUUUCUGCGGGGACGGAGCGGCCGGUCGCAACUUGCGACUCGAGCUAGCGCUUUCCCCGCAUCCUGCCGCGAACCGUGCUACCAUUAGCUUGGUGGCGCUGGGGAUCGGCUCGAUUACUUUGAGAAAAAUAGAGUGUUCAAAGCAGGCCACACGCCUUGAAUAAGUUAGCAUGGAAUAAUGACUAAGGACUUCGGUUCUAUUUUGUUGGUGUUCGGGACUGAAGUAAUGAUUGAUAGGGACAGUUGGGGCGGUCUGUAUUCCAAAGCGAGAGGUGAAAUUCUUAGACCUUCGGAAGACAAACAGCUGCGAAAGCGUUCCGCAAGGAUGUUCCCUUUGAUCAAGAACGAAAGUUGGGGGAUCGAAGACGAUCAGAUACCGUCGUAGUCUCAACUAUAAACUAUACCAGCUAGGGAUCGGCCAACGUUUAAUUAUUCGACUUGGUCGGCACCUUAUGAGAAAUCAAAGCAUCUGGGUUCCGGGGGGAGUAUGGUCGCAAGGCUGAAACUUAAAGGAAUUGACGGAAGGGCACCACCAGGCGUGGAGCCUGUGGCUUAAUUUGACUCAACACGGGAAAACUUACCAGGUCCAGACAUAGGAAGGAUUGACAGAUUGAUAGCUCUUUCUUGAUUCUGUGGGUGGUGGUGCAUGGCCGUUUUUAGUCGGUGAAGUGAUUUGUCUGCUUAAUUGCGUUAACGGACGAGACCCCAGCCUGCUAAAUAGCGCGGCCGAGCUUUGCUCGGUACGAGCUUCUUAGAGGGACCAUGAUGCGCGAUAGCACAAGGAAGUUUGGGGCAACAACAGGUCUGUGAUGCCCUUAGAUGUUCUGGGCCGCACACGGGCUACACUGGCGCCUGCAACGAGCAUAUCAGCUGGCCCGAGAGGGUCUUGGCUAAUCUUUGGAACCGGCGCCGUGCUUGGGAUUGACCAUUGCAAUUGUUGGUCAUGCAACGAGGAAUGCCUUGUAAACGCGAGUCAUCAGCUCGCAUUGAAUACGUCCCUGCCCUUUGUACACACCGCCCGUCGCUCCUACCGAUGAAUGUUCCGAUGAAAUUUUCGGAGAGCGCCGGAGAACGGGGCUCUGCCCUGCAGAACUGGAGGCUCAAAGUCACUUAAAUCUGAACAUUUCGAGGAAGGAGAAGUCGUAACAAGGUAGCCG
rnacentral:rRNA from 1 species